AGUGAUUAAAGCAUUCAGCUACUACCUGAAAGAUCGGUGGUUCGAAUCCACCAGUCGCUC
rfam:Loxodonta africana unplaced genomic scaffold scaffold_57, whole genome shotgun sequence.